rnacentral:tRNA from 1 species
AUCGGUAGACGCUACGGACUUAAAAUCCGUCGACUUUUAAAAUCGUGAGGGUUCAAGUCCCUCUAUCCCCA